GAAGCUACUCAAAUCGAAUACUCCCGAAAAUAAAAGAUCUAGAAUAAUAUUUAAUAUCGAAAAUUUACAAUAUACUGUGGCAUUAGCAUAUAAAAAUAUACUUCUAGGGGUGAAAGACCUUCACUUUUAUAGAUAUCUGGAUAAAUAUUAAAUAAAUUUAGUUUAAAAAAUAAUUACAGUGUGAUAAGAUAGUGUAAAAAGAAUUUAUAAUAGCUACUCUGUCGGCCCUUAACUAUUACUUAGCGGCACUAAAUUGGGUAAUAAUACUUCUGUAACUAAAAUUCAUUAGUAAUAUUUUAUUAUAUAAUAUAAAUAAAACAAUAAAUAAUGUAUAAAUCAGUAAAUAAUAUAAUAAAUUACAUGAAGGAACUCGGCAAAUAGGUUAUACGACUGUUUAACAAAAACAUAGCCAGUAGAAUUUUAUUAUUGGUGUGACCUGCCCAGUGAAUUUUCAACGGCCGCAGUACCCUGACUGUGCAAAGGUAGCAUAAUCACUUGGCUUUUAAUUGAAGUCUGGAAUGAAAGGAAAAACGUAUAAGAACUGUCUCCACAAUCAAUUUUGUUUAACUUACUUAAUAAGGUGAAAAUUCCUUAAUAACAAUAAUAGACGAGAAGACCCUUAGAAUUUUAAGAAACCGCAGAUCAUACAGCGGGUGAUUUUUGUUGGGGCAACAUUUUUUCAUUAAAUAAGAAAUACCCGUUAAAUACAUAACGAAAGAGUAUAAUAAAGUUUAAAUUACCUAAGGGAUAACAGCAUAAUUUUAAGUAAAGAUUGUGACCUCGAUGUUGGACUAGGAACUAUUAAGGCUAAUCGUUUUAAUAUAAUAGGUUCUGUUCGAACUUUAUUUCCUA
rnacentral:rRNA from 1 species